GGCGGGAUGGCUCAGUGGUUAGAGCGCGGAUUCACUGACCGGAUGGUCCGUGGUUCGAAUCCGACUUCUGCUU
rnacentral:tRNA from 1 species